rnacentral:ribozyme from 1 species
GAAUGUAGUUCUUUCUUCUUUCUUCUUUCUUUCUUUCCUUCUUUCUUUUUCUUUUUGUGUGUUUGUGUGUGUUUUAAUCGGAGUGAAGCGGAUGGUGUCUCGCUCGUCGCUGAAAGCCUCG